rnacentral:piRNA from 1 species
UAAAAACUAAUGUUACUUUGCAAAAGAUG